rnacentral:rRNA from 1 species
UACGAAGGGGGCUAGCGUUGCUCGGAAUCACUGGGCGUAAAGCGCACGUAGGCGGGUCGUUAAGUCGGGGGUGAAAUCCUGGAGCUCAACUCCAGAACUGCCUUCGAUACUGGCGAUCUUGAGUCUGGGAGAGGUGAGUGGAACUCCGAGUGUAGAGGUGAAAUUCGUAGAUAUCGGGAGGAACACCAGUGGCGAAGGCGGCGACCUGGACAGAUAUUGACGCUGAGGUGCGAAAGCGUGGGGAGCAAACAGG